GUCACUGCAAUCAACAGAAAUACCCCAGGGGCAAGGAGUGCUGAUGCUGGGAUGAUAGAACGCUCCGGACACAAUGAAAGUGAAACGAAGAGCAUAUCGGUGGUAAUGGAUGUGCCUUGGCCCAUUACUGUGGCUUCAUUAAUUAGAGCCAGGUGUCCACAGCCCUAUUAGCUGGAGCACCGUCAGUUCCUGCAGAAGAUGGCAACACCUCCUCGGUCCACCCUGACUUAAAGGGGAUUUUCAGCAUUGACUGAAAUUCAGAUCACCUGAGGCUACAGAUGAGAAAUGAAGGUUGUGUGACGUUCCCAGCCUCAGAGGAUCUUGUUGAUGGAACCGAUGGAGGACGUCACGUGGGUUCGAUCAGCAGUCACUACAUAUGCAGG